rnacentral:sRNA from 2 species
GACUGGAUGCCGAGGAUGUUCUUUUUGUGUUGGAAAUGUCCUGCAAGUGGUUGGACGUCCCAUAUGACGAAUGCUAGUCUCAUCUAAUUUUUUGAUGGCCCAGAACUCCAAACACCGCCUUUGGUAAAGUGAGUUAUUGUUAUGGAGCAUGCCUCACAACAUUUUGGCCUUUCAUCAACAGGCUCGCGCUCGCUCACAUCUGCUCGUCAAGCAAUGUCCUAGAAUGAAGGAGACAAGAGUAAAGGAGUGCCCCAGUCCACCUUUAUGGUAUGAGCGAUGAAUAUUUGCCCGUGUGGGCUGAA